rnacentral:rRNA from 1 species
AGCGAACGCUGGCGGCAGGCCUAACACAUGCAAGUCGAACGAACUCUUCGGAGUUAGUGGCGGACGGGUGAGUAACACGUGGGAACGUGCCUUUUGGUUCGGAAUAACUCAGGGAAACUUGUGCUAAUACCGAAUGUGCCCUUCGGGGGAAAGAUUUAUCGCCAUUAGAGCGGCCCGCGUCUGAUUAGCUAGUUGGUGAGGUAACGGCUCACCAAGGCGACGAUCAGUAGCUGGUCUGAGAGGAUGACCAUCCACACUGGGACUGAGACACGGCCCAGACUCCUACGGGAGGCAGCAGUGGGGAGUCUUGCGCGAUGGGCGAAAGCCUGACGCAGCCAUGCCGCGUAAAUGAUGAAGGUCUUAGGAUUGUAAAAUUCUUUCACCGGGGACGAUAAUGACGGUACCCGGAGAAGAAGCCCCGGCUAACUUCGUG